GGAUGACGGGAGCUUGCUCCUUGAUUCAGCGGCGGACGGGUGAGUAAUGCCUAGGAAUCUGCCUGGUAGUGGGGGACAACGUUUCGAAAGGAACGCUAAUACCGCAUACGUCCUACGGGAGAAAGCAGGGGACCUUCGGGCCUUGCGCUAUCAGAUGAGCCUAGGUCGGAUUAGCUAGUUGGUGAGGUAAUGGCUCACCAAGGCGACGAUCCGUAACUGGUCUGAGAGGAUGAUCAGUCACACUGGAACUGAGACACGGUCCAGACUCCUACGGGAGGCAGCAGUGGGGAAUAUUGGACAAUGGGCGAAAGCCUGAUCCAGCCAUGCCGCGUGUGUGAAGA
rnacentral:rRNA from 1 species